GCGGACAUGGCGGAAUUGGCAGACGCGCUAGAUUUAGGAUCUAGUGGCAACCCCGUGCAGGUUCAAGUCCUGUUGUCCGCACCA
rnacentral:tRNA from 1 species